AAUUACAAAAUAUUAUAGUGUUAAUCAAUUAGUUUAUUUUUUUUUCUAAUAUUAUAUGGUGCUAUUGUUUGUUUUGUCAGAUUCUUUUUAUUUAAAUAUCAGUGCUCGCGUUUGGACGGCGGCCAAAAAAUUCAAAGAGUCGCAACCGCAUGUGAACGUUACGUUAAAAAUGAAUUAUCAUCAUUUUAGUGCAGUUGACGGUUGACAUGACAAUCAAGGCCAUGGUGUUGGUGUCGUUGGCUGUUGAAUUGACUAGUGGACAAUUUCGCCUACCCUUCCAAAUAAUUUCAAUAACAUUGUGACAACGUGGUUCCCACGGCGGCUGCUUUCCGUGUAGUUUGUUUAAUUUUAGACCGCAAAAUUACGAACGUGUAACAUAAUUUACAUUAUUAUUCAUUGAAUUUUGUACAACAGACAAAAAUUAUGAUACAAAGUCUGUUUCUACCUAAGAACCCCAAAAAUGAAAAACCUAGCCGCAGAAAAAAUAGUUUAUGUAAAGAAAUUGUGGUUCCAAAAUUAAAAAAAAAAAUUCAUGCAUAUGUAGAAUAUAGACAAAAAUAAAAGGGAAAACCAUGAAAUCCACCCUCUUAUAUUUAAAAAAUGACCAAAACCUUCUUCGAA
rnacentral:lncRNA from 1 species